UAAAUAUGGAGACAUGCCGAGUUGGUAAUUGUCCGCGAAAAAUGUUAUUUGGGAUUCUCAAAAUUUAUCUUACAAGCCAUUAUCUUGAAACAACAAAGAAAAAAAUCACAUUCCAGAUGCAUAACCGAACCUGUCAACAAAAUUGUCAUAUAAAUUUUUUUUCUAGCUCAUCUCCCCAACAAAGCAACGCGAUCUUUCUGAACGGCCUGUGACAAACUUAUGUCAAAGAGCUCACACCGGAUCGGCAUUUCCAUUUCAUAGAAAGGGUUCUUCAAGACGUAAUCAGUGUAUAAUUCAUAGAUAUACUUCAACAGGGACUCCAUAUGAAGAGUUCCAGGCUCACAGACCACAAAGAAUUUUGUUCCGGUAAGAGAUUGGAAGCAAUGUAGAUCAAACGUAUCAGCUUGAAGGAGUUCGAUACCAGCACAACCAUUAACUGGGGACAACUGCUGAGAGAUAGCGUGCAUAGAAUGCCACAGACUAGCCAAUCUCAAACUAUCAUUUGUGUCCAUUUUUCCAGCCGAACCAUAAUCCUUGCAGAAGAUAAGCCCUCCUGAUUUAUUGAUGAUGUAAAGGCUGUAAAUAGCUGCCAUUUAUAUUGAAUCCUUCUGUUUGUUGAUCUGAAUUCAGAUGCAAAAUGGGGUAGUCCAAGCUCUGUACGGAAGAGGAUGGACAAAAG
rnacentral:misc_RNA from 1 species